ACCGCACGCUUGGCAUUAGUUCUUUCCAUGUUAUCAAAUUCCUCUCUCCUCUCUUAACUACCUUGCUGCCCUAGUCCCUACUGCCGGUUUUCGAAAAAAAGCUCUACUGCCGGUAAGUUAGAAUUAGUGCGCACGUUCCGUUCGAUUUAGUAAGAUGCGGCGGAUGCUCGGUGGGUGGCGAGGCGGAGUUGGAGGAAGGCGACGACGGACUGCUGCUGUUCGGAGGAAAAGAUCCAUAAGUGCGAAGAUGGAGUUCUUCCUGGAUCCAUUCAAUAGGCGAGUGUUCCUCAAUUGACAUUGCCCGACGAGGUUGUCAACGAGAGCCCGUCGGAUGUGUGUGCUGAUCCUUGUGCGUUUGAUGACCAGCCGGCGGAAUCUGAAUCUGGUCUCCCGCCCGUAGCUACCGCCAGGAAGGUCACGCCGCCGGGGCUGAUCUUGAAGACAAUGGAGUCCCAGCUACGUACACUACUUCAGAGCAGUUAACUAACUCACCUCGACCCUGAAGCUCCGCAGUGACGAAGAGAUUUCAGUUUGCAACUCUGGACGUUCAACCUCGCCGGCCCGCGUGACUCUGCGUUAGCAUUCCGGUCCAAAUACCAGUCAAUUUGCUUCUCAUCCAUCAGUCUCAGGUACAUAAUAUUUCCCCUAAAAAGGGUAUGCAAUCUUUAAUCAUGUGGCUUCCUGUUCCGAGCACACAAUAUCAAUUGUGGUCUCCUCAGAUGUAUAGAAACAGAACAUAGAAACUGAUUGCAUGCAAUCCAAUAUGAUCAUCAGAUAACUACACAAAAAGAACCAUCCAGUUGGAAGCACGGACUCCUUUAAAAAGUAUUAUGAAUGUCCCAGUGGUUAAUUCAGCAAUGUCAUGAAAAUGAAAACAACGCUCUACAUCUUUCAACUCUGAUCAUUUUCUUGAAGAUUGAUUGAACUUUAUUUACUUUGUAAAUGGCAUAUCUUUUGUUUUGUGUGUUCAAAUAGGAACAAUUUUACAGAGCUAAAUCCUUAGUUUGGUGAACAAAGAGAUGUAUUAAUGAUUUCUGCAUACCAUAAGCUUUUACGUGAUAAGGAUAAAUACUUGCAAAUGGCACCAAUUCAAAGAGAAGCUUAUUUAGAGGGGAAUUGUGAGUACAAACGAGCUAAACUACAAAACAAUGCAAGUACUAGCAAUGCACAGUCGUAACUAGGCAGAGAAAUAUGACUUGCAGUGAACAAAUACACAUGCUUAUGGAAUCUUCUCAGCUGAUAGAAGGUACUUUAUUGUGGUUUAUAAUAAAUAUAAUUUCAUUAUCACUAUGCAUGCUUUGGUAAUGGAAUUUAAUUUUUCUUCUUCUUUCAGAUUGUUGCAUGCACAGUUCAGUGGUCGAUCAACAAGGAUGUUCACAAUAAAUGAAGCAAGUGGCCACACUUGGUAGUUUUGAGAUAUCUGAAUCUGGUAAUCAAGACAUAUCUUAAUCAGACAAAUGCCUUAUUCUUCGGUCAAAUAUGUGUCACCUAGAUAAUGGAACUAUGGUCGGUGCAUCUGGAGUAUAUGCAUCUUCAAUCUGUCUUGAAGAUUAGGCUGCAGAUAAAGCAUUGAGAAAUAGCAGUGGACGUAAGCGACAAUGUGGCACUAACUGGUGCUCACACUUGCACCUGAACGAAGAGAAUCAUAUACUGACGGAGGUAUCUUGACAAUAUGGAGCAGGUAUCAUGACUAUAUGAGACAAGAAAGUCUCAUGGAGCAGGUUAUAGUAAUGCACAUGAUACAGCUGAUCAGGCAAGUUGUAAUAGACAAAACUCAAGAACAUAUCAGUUUUGAAUCUGAAAACACAAUGUAUAUGCCAACUGAUUGUUUGCUGCUACCCAAGAUAUGCUUGAAACUGCAGCGCAUCUUGGCCAUGUUCACUGCUGGGUUCCUUCCAGCUCACCAAGCCCAAACCACCCGCAUCCAGACGCCCCUCCGCCGACAAAAAGGGCCGCGGCCGCCGCGCUUCUGUUGCUUAGCAUGUGUCCCAGCAACCAACGUCCGGUGCGCUCUGUUUGCAUGCCGGAUUGUCCGCAAGAGAAGCAGAGUCUGCUUUUGUAUCCUGUUUCCUGCUGUUUCCGUUUGAGAUUAGGCUCCUGCUAGCUGUAGCUGCUCUUCUGUUGAUGUGCCCCUGGUCCGCUUGCUUCAUCUGUUCGUAUGGCCUGCACUGCCCCAUGUUCCCUGUGUUGCUGCUGUUGUUUAUGGAUAAUCAUCACUGUACUGUCAUGAACUGGAAUGUUUGAGGUCUGAAUAAUCCGGCAAGGAGAAAGGUGGUUCAUCUCAGAACAAUGCGUUUGUUGUUUGCCUCCAAGAUACCAAGCUAGACUUUGUUCAUUAUAGGCUUGUUGCUGAAAUUUUGGGGCCUGCUUUUGCUGAUAAUUUUGGCUUCCUUUCGGCGGACGGCACUAGAGGUGGGAUUCUUCUUGCUGCUUCCCAGGAUUUCUUCAAACUGUCACACUUUGCACACUAUCUCAGCCACCAUUUGUAUGUGUGCUAAUGAAUGUAAAUGGAGCAUUUCGGCCGUCUACGGACCUCAGUCUGAAACAGAUAAAAUUAUUUUCAUUGGUGAACUCAAGGGCCUGAAAAAUGCUGUCAGUGUUAGGUGACUUCAACCUGAUUUGCUGGGCUGCAGAUAAAGCAAUAGCAUAUGAUUAAUAGGCGCCUCAUCAACGCUUUCAGAGCUGCUCUGAACUUGAUGGAGGUCUCUGAAUUGCGGCUGCAUGGAAGGCGUUUCAUUUGGACUGGCACCUGUCAGCAGCAACCCGAAACCAAGAUCGAUCAUGUUUUUCACACCGCUGAGUGGGGUCUUCUAUUCCCCCAGUGCCUCCUCCAGGCCGUUACUUCUUCUGUCUCGGACCACUGUGCUAUGAUCCUGACGGGGCAGCUCAGCUGUGCAACCUUCAAGGGCUUCCGUUUUGAAUAGUAUUGGACGAGAAUUCACACCUUUCAGGACUCUGUUUUGGCUUCCUGGACCAAGCCAGUGUUCAUGUGCGAUGCUGCUCGUAUUCUCCACUUCAAGCUGUCAAGGACUCAAGGUUGGUCAAGGCUCUUCACAUCUGGAGCAGGGCUUGCGUUGAGGAUUACUGUCCGACCAGUCUGAUACACUCUGCAAAAAAAUUGUGCAACUUACUCGCCAACCGCCUUACUCCUUGCCUGCAUGACAUCAUCCCCAACUCCCAGAGCGCUUUCAGCAAGCGGAGCAUGAUUUAUGAUAAUAUCCUAUAUGUCAGAAAUGUUGUCCGGCGUCUCCACAAGACAAAAUGCCAUGCCCUUCUUCUCAAGCUUGAUAUUGCGGGUGAUUUCGAUUCGGAUUCUUGGGAGUUCCUUCUUGAGGUUAUGGAGAGACUUGGCUUCAUCGCUUGCUGCGUGACUUGUUGGCGCUGCUUUGGAAGUCUUCUUCUUUGAAGAUCUUGGCUAAUGGACAAGUUGGAAGGCGCUUUCUCCAUCGUCGAGGCCUGUUGGAAGACCCUCUUUCCCUGAUGCUUUUCACCAUUGCCAUUGUUCCUCUCCACUAGCUUUUUGCCGAAGCUGCUGCUUCACAUGUGCUGUCUGACCUCAACCUACCUCCAUCAAACUUGAGAGUGAGCCUAUAUGCAGACGACACAGCUCUAUUCAUGAAGCCCUCGGCCGAUGAUAUCACUACCACCAGCCAGCUCCCGCUGCUCCCCGGCCUUAGAGUCCAGAAAAGUGCAAUAAAUCCUAGGAGUAUUAGCUACACAGAUAUUGAUCUGCAUCAACGCCUACAGGAAUUCCCGGUCCCUAUCUGCAACUUCCCAUGCAAGACUUUGGGCUACCCCUACACUUCAAGAAGAUUUCCAGGGGUGACCUGCAGCCCAUCAUUGAUAAAAUGGCUUCAAAGCUGCAGCUUUGGUGAGGCAAGCUUCUCUAUGCAUCCGUUCGCUUUGUGCUGGUCAACGUCGUUCUCUCUGUCAUUCCAAUUUUCAUGCUAACUGUCUUCAAGCUGGGCAAAUGGGCGAUCAAGCAAAUUUAUAAACUGCGCCGAAACUUCCUGUGGCGGUCCAGUCCUGACUCCCAUGGCGGCCUGCCUCUGGUGAGCUGGAAAUCUGUUUGUAGGCUCAAGAACCUUGGGGGCUUGGGGAUUAUGGAUAUUCACAAGUUCAUCAGUGCUUUGCGGAUUCCUUUGAAGUGGUCGGAAUGAACAGAUCCGAACACGCCUUGGCAUGGCAGUGGCACUGAGCUUCCCAGUGACAAGGAUGACUCUUGUUCGACGCCUCCAACUCUGUUCAGCGGGGCAAUGGCAGGAAGCGAACUUCUGGAACUCCCAUUGGCUUUAUAGUCAGGUUCCUCGGCUUCUUGCUCCUGAUCUCUUCCAACUUCGCCCUCGGAAGAACAUCUCAGUGGCUGACGGUUUGAACAGUGGGAGAUGGAUGCGUGGCUUCCACAGAAUCGUCAACGCCAAUCAGCUUCGACAGUUAGCAAAUCUUCUUGCUCCUGAUCUUUUUCUUUGUUACAAGUUCUGUAACUUGAACUAUUUCCCUCCUAUGUAAUGCAUUGGCAGUACAACUGCUACUUUACCUAAAAAAAAGCUAUAAAUUCAUUGGACAAAAACUGUUCAAAUAAAAGCUUAA